UCCAUCCAGUAUCAGCUUUGGGGCUUCAUCAAUAUCUUGCCAGGGUUGCAACACGUACAGUUCUGCAAGAUUCAGAAUAGCCUCAAAUCACCACAUUUUCGGAAAACGGAUUGAAAAGCUGAUCAAACAGGACGUUUGAUGCCAGGAUGAAAGGGGAGCUGGGUCCUGCACGAUCGAGUUGGAGGCAAAGUGCGGGCUGGAGUUCUCUACAGCUGGAGGAGGAGCCGUCAGUCAUCCAUCAGGUGGCUGGUGCUGGACUGGCCCUGGGUUAUGUGGCUCCCAGUUUCCUCCACGUGGAGGCCAGUUCUUGGGCUGUUGAGGGUCCAGAUGGCUUCCAGGAAUUCUCCCACCGAUGAAUGAAGAAGAGGGCAUCCGAUGAACACGAUGGAAUAAGGUUUAAAUUUCCUGGUGAUUUGACAUGAAAUAUUGACAUCAGUGAACAUAACACAUAACUCAAAAUAGGUCCCUGCAGAGAGGACAUCACAACGACACUGGGUAUCGAGGGUCGUCCAUCCAAGGAGCAGGAUGGUCCCCGUGUGAGGAAACUGGACAUGCCCUGAAUUCUUCCUGCUCAUCUAUGAAGGAAACUUGGUCGAAGUUUAUAUUCUCUCGAUAGAAUAUGACGUUCCAGAAUCCUUGUCCAACAAAGAGGGGGAUCGUGUCCCUCCUGGGGGGCUGUGACAUCACGUGUGUAAAGUGCCUGCAGGCCUCCUGCGUCCGUAACAGAUGCCAGUUCUUAGCUCCUUCCCUCCGCCUUUUCCUGGUCACAUCACAAAGAUGGUUUCAGUUCCUCCCAUGGGCCCCGCUAAGUGGAACCUGCUCCCGUCCGAGCCGCCGGCCCACCUCUUGUAAAGAGACCUACUCGAGAGAGGCUCAAAGGCUUAAGGCAAAACAGCUACUUUCAACCAACAUCUCAUUCUUUGCCAAGCACUCUCACCUCUGUUACCACAACUGUUCUUCAUCCAAUCCGUGCAAGGCCCCCAGCACAUGCCUGGUCCUGCCUGCCCUGUCCACCCCCUGCCCCCUGCGACUUUAUCAUGUGGCCUCUCAAGUCCUGCUCUGACCUUGCUGAGUAGUGGCCUCUGGGCAGCCCAAGACCCCAGAGAGGGAAGAAGCGACCUGGAGAGGAAGAC